rnacentral:misc_RNA from 1 species
AGAAAGAAAGAAAGAAAGAAAAAGUGCAGUAUCGGAAAAAGAAAGUUUAGUGGGCAAGAACAAGAGAUGGGUGGCUCUGGGUCUGGGAAUUUUCUCCAAGUUGUGGCAAAAAACUUUGAUGUUCUUGCUCUGUAUGUGUCUUCUCUACAAUGUCCCUUAAAUUUUAAGUUAGAGUUUCAAUUCUGAUUUUUCUUUUCUUCCCUACUUUUCUAACUGAGAUUCUCUGCUCUCAUUUGCAGACCUCUAGUCACUCUUGUUUACCCCUUGUGAGUGUGUGUACUAUCUAAAAGCUUUUAGACCAAUGAUGGGUCUUAUAUAUAUCUCUAAUGGCUCUCUGUGUGGAUCUUAACAGAUAUGCUUCAAUUAAGGCUAUAGAGUCGAAAUCUCGCACAGAUGACCAGCAAUGGCUAACCUAUUGGGUUCUGUAUUCCAUGAUGACCAUAUUCGAGCUAACAUUUUCCAAAAUCCUGGAAUGUAUCCCAAUCUGGCCUUACGCCAAGCUGAUAGUCACCUGUUGGUUGGUUCUGCCACACUUCAAUGGAGCAGCACAUGUUUAUCAGCACUUCAUCAGACCAGUCUACAUGAACCCACAAGCUGCUCAAAGAAUCUGGUAUGUCCCUCGGAAGAAGGACAUUUUCAGUAAGCCAGAUGACAUUUUAACUGCU